rnacentral:rRNA from 1 species
GUACACUCCUACGGGAGGCAGCAGUGGGGAAUUUUGGACAAUGGGCGAAAGCCUGAUCCAGCAAUGCCGCGUGCAGGAUGAAGGCCUUCGGGUUGUAAACUGCUUUUGUACGGAACGAAAAAGCUCCUUCUAAUACAGGGGGCCCAUGACGGUACCGUAAGAAUAAGCACCGGCUAACUACGUGCCAGCAGCCGCGGUAAUACGUAGGGUGCGAGCGUUAAUCGGAAUUACUGGGCGUAAAGCGUGCGCAGGCGGUUAUGUAAGACAGAUGUGAAAUCCCCGGGCUCAACCUGGGAACUGCAUUUGUGACUGCAUGGCUAGAGUACGGUAGAGGGGGAUGGAAUUCCGCGUGUAGCAGUGAAAUGCGUAGAUAUGCGGAGGAACACCGAUGGCGAAGGCAAUCCCCUGGACCUGUACUGACGCUCAUGCACGAAAGCGUGGGGAGCAAACAGGAUUAGAUACCCCGGUAGUCCCAUGA